CCUACGGGUGGCUGCAGUGAGGAAUAUUGGUCAAUGGCCGAGAGGCUGAACCAGCCAAGUCGCGUGAGGGAAGACGGCCCUACGGGUUGUAAACCUCUUUUGUCGGGGAGCAAAGCGAGUCACGUGUGACUCAUUGAGAGUACCCGAAGAAAAAGCAUCGGCUAACUCCGUGCCAGCAGCCGCGGUAAUACGGAGGAUGCGAGCGUUAUCCGGAUUUAUUGGGUUUAAAGGGUGCGCAGGCGGAGGUGGAAGUCAGCGGUCAAAUUGCGGGGCUCAACCCCGGAAUGCCGUUGAAACCGGCACCCCUGAGUGCGCGAGAAGUAUGCGGAAUGCGUGGUGGAGCGGUGAAAUGCAUAGAUAUCACGCAGAACCUCGAUUGCGAAGGCAGCAUACCGGCGCGCAACUGACGCUCAUGCACGAAAGCGUGGGUAUCGAACAGGAUUAGAUACCCUUGUAGUC
rnacentral:rRNA from 1 species